GCCUCAGUGGGCCUGAUUCCCAGUGUUACCUUGUGCCCACAGUCCAUGUAGGAUUUUGAGCAUUUUUCUGUUUAUCUUCAAGCACCCUGCUCACAUCUGGCUUCUCACAUCUCCCAGGCCCUACACAGGUCAUUGCAUUUCAGGCACAAUGCCUGUCAGUAUUGUCUUGUUUAAAUGCUCAACAUCAAUGGUACGCCCGGAAUGUAGAAUCCAUACACAUUCAGGAUUUUGACACGCAUCUACAGAGGUAUGCAUAGCCAAUAUGGAAAGUGUCCUCUUUAUGUAUAUAUGUCUAAAAUACAUGAGGAUACUGAGGCCCAUGCCAGAGCUAGUAAGAACUAAAAUUCAGCUAAAACAACUCACAUCUUUUGUCACUUACAUUCAGGCUUUUUCUCUAAGACACCAGGUUUCACAUUUCCAUCCAUUCCUUGUAGAAUUCCAGCCAUCGCUAAGCAGCCGGUUCUUUUCAAUAGUCUCUAACCUCACUGCCUUUCUCCAGGUUCCCACAUGUUUCUGGUUCCCUUAUUAUGUCUUGUUCACUCGCUUGAGGUAGUCUGGAAUGAAGUAAAUGCAAAUUGUUUUAGUGGUUGAAACAUUUGCGCUCCCCUCCCCCUCCAGAAUCAACAAAAGCUGCUGAGUCUAUGAAUUUAGAAGUAGAAUUUAGACCAGUAAUUAUAGUUAUGGAGUUAAAGAAUUUUCAAUGUUUUUUUAUUUUUUUCUUUUAUUGGAUUUAUCAUCUCAGAUUUGCAAUCUGAAUUCUUGGUGCUCCUUUUCCAGUAAUUUCAAGUGAGAAGUUCAAAUCUGUUUACCCAGCAUGCCUAAUGACCAUUAGUAGGGUAAAUAAGGGGAAUCAAUAGACAUAUUAUUGGAGACUGUCUUUUGAAACAUGGUAACAUCACAUGACACGUAUUCCCAGAGGAAUCAAUUGAUUUUUUUUUUUAAGCACAAGAAAUGUUUUUUUAUCCCCUCCUACCCAGAGAAAAACAUAAGAAUUCAGACAAGAUCAAGUCCAAAAUGAAUAAUGUAGGGAUUUGCCAUUUGUGUGGAAUAGAAACUACUCACCUUUUAAAACAUUAUUUAUGAAUUUGACUUGAGAUGCUCCGCAUAAAUCUUUUUUUCUUUUCUGGUCAAGUGUUUGUGACAUAAAAAAUGAAAUGGCAUUUAUCACCAGUUUGAUACUUCCAGAAGUAUAUUAAGUAGAAAGAACUUGACCUCAUUAAGUAAAAGGACACACCUAAGAAUUCAUGAAGCAGUUCACAGCUCCUCUCUUUGUUUUACCUGCUCUUCUGCUCCACUCUGAGGUUACUCUGUUGGAGGAGAUGACGAAAUUGCCAUUGAACCUCCUCUUCAUCAUUAAGAAGAAUGAGCAAGUGUGGUGUCCAAAAAAUGAAUAUCAAAUAUAAUUAUUUCAGGCUUUGUGUAUAUGUGUGAUAUCGAUAUAGAUGUGUGUGUGUUUAUAUAUGGGUAUAUGUGUUAUAUAUGUGUAUAUACAUGUGUAUGUAUGUAUAUAUGUAGUGUGUAUAUAUGUGUGUGUGUGGGUAUAUUGUAUAAAUACAUACACACAAGAGAGUCAAAGAGAGAUUGAUUAACUAUAAGGAACUGACUCCUGUGAUUACGAAGGCGGGCGAAUCCUGAAAUCUUCAGGGUGCAUCAGCAGCCUGGAGACCCAGGAAGGCCCUUUGUUUAGUUACAGUCUGAGUUCAAAGGUCAGAGACCCAGGAGAGCUGAUGGUCUCCACCCAAAGACUGCCAGGUUCAAGAGGUAGGAAGUGCCACCAUGUCAGUUCAAGCCUGAAGGCAGGAAAAAAAAAAAUCAUAUGUGUCCAUCUGAAGGCCAUCAACAAGGAAGGAAUUCUUUCUCACUGUGGGGAGGGUCAGUGUUUUUGUUCUAGAAAGACCUUCAACUGAUUGGAUGAGGCUCACCCCCAUUAGGGAGGGCAAUCUGCUUUAGUCCAGGUACUGAUUUCAGUGUUCUUCUCAACCAAAACACCCUCCCAGGAACACCUGGAAUAAUAUUUGACUAAAUGUCAGGCCACCCCAUGGUCCAGUCAAGUUGACACAGAAAAUUAACCUUCACACGGGGGAAUCCAUUAAAGAAGGAUAUAUUCCUCAGUUCCAGCAGCUGUUAGAUGUUUUUUUUUUAAUAGGUGUUAGCUCGUGGUUGUCCUCAGUUCCUGCCACAUGGGCCUCUCCAACAUAACAGCUGGUUUCAGCAAAGGCAGCAAGAGAACGAUAACCUGCUAGCAAAAUGGAAUUAGCAAUCUUUUGUAGUCAAGUCACAUAAUUAAUAGCCUAGUACCUUUGCCAUAUUCUCUUGGUUGGAAGCAUGUCACUGGGUUCAACCCAUACUGCAAUUGAGGAAAUUACAUAUAUGCAUGAACACCCCGGGGUGGGCACCUUUGGGGGCCAUAGUAGAAGGCUGCCUUUCACACAGCUGAAAGGCACGUUGAAGGUUUGAGCAAGGAAUACAAACAUUAGAACCAUAAAAGGGGACUUGUCUCAAACUUACAAGUCUGGAUUUGAGGGUCCUUUAAAAUAAAUCUUCCUAGUUCUAUGAAUUUGUGCAAAUUAAUUACUAUCAUUUUGCUUAUUUCUUCACUUAUUAAAAUGGAUAUAUGUUAUGUUGUUUCUUGCCUAGUAGUAUUCCUGGCAGUAGAACUUGGUCUUCUUGCCCCCUCCCAAUUCAGGUCAAGUUAUUAAGGUAAAGCUGAUAAAAUCUCCCCUCUCCUAUAGGGCUGGACAUAGGAAUCAGAUUUGGCCAUGCAAAGCCAUGGCGACUAGUUCAGGAUGGAACCUAAGAGCCAUUCUGUGUUCAUGAGAAGCAGGCAUAGGACCUUUUCUGGAAGUACUGGACAAGAGAAAGAGCUUUCUCAGUGAGGUUGAAAGUGAGAGAAUGGGCCAUUCCCUCGUGGCUCAGUGGAAAUGAAUCUGCCUAGCAUCCAUGAGGAUGCAGGUUCGAUCCCUGGCCUCACUCAGUGGGUUAAGGAUCUGGUGUUGCCAUGAGCUGUGGUGUAGGUCGCAGACAUGGCUUGGAUCUGGCGGUGCUGGGGCUGUGAUGUACGCCAGUGGCUACAGCUCCAAUUUGACCCCUAGCCUGGGAUCCUAUGCCAGAGGUGCUGCCCUAAAGAGGCAAAAAAAAAAAAGGGGGGGGGGAUGUAAGCCUGAAGUUUCCAGCAGCCAUGCAGUUACCUAGUAGGAAAAGUCUGAAUAAGAAAAAGGCUAAUUCUCAUUUCAGUUGUGAGAUAGAAAGAGGUAGAUUCCUAAAGAUACCGAACUGCUGGAUCCAUCCUGGCCUGCAGUUCAACAACCCUAACUCUUAUGUGGACCAAUACAUUUCUACUUAAGUCUGUUUGAGUUGUAUUUCUGGCCAUUGCCUGAUCCAUCCCGCACGUAGAGCUGUGUGCUGUUCACAGCUAUCUCUCAACAAAUGUACACUGACUAAUGUAUAAAAGCAAUUUUUAGAAGAUUAGCCUUGACAUCCAAGGGCAGGAAGUUGGAACGUAUUCCCUCCCCGAGUCUUCCUGAACCCUAAAAUUCUAAGAUUGGCUGCUUCCCAGAACACUUCUUGGAGGCCUCUCUUUGGAAUUUGUGUCUAGAAUAUUUGGAAUGGCUUAGGCGGCUCUCUUAGGUUUGUCCAUCUCUAUCCCCAGGCUCACGGCAGUGUAGGUGGGCCAGUCUUGCAAAACUCCAUCUCUGAGCAGCCUCAGGCACAGGAAGCUGGCCCAUACAAGUUCCAAAAG
rnacentral:lncRNA from 1 species